rnacentral:rRNA from 1 species
UACGGAGGGUGCAAGCGUUGUUCGGAAUCACUGGGCGUAAAGCGCGUGUAGGCGGCCUUCUCAGUCUGGUGUGAAAGCCCGGGGCUCAACCCCGGAAGUGCAUUGGAUACUGGAAGGCUGGAGUACCGGAGAGGAGGGUGGAAUUCCUGGUGUAGCGGUGAAAUGCGUAGAUAUCAGGAGGAACACCGGUGGCGAAGGCGGCCCUCUGGACGGAUACUGACGCUGAGACGCGACAGCGUGGGGGAGCAAACAGG